AGUGAACGCUGGCGGUAGGCCUAACACAUGCAAGUCGAACGGCAGCACAGUAAGAGCUUGCUCUUACGGGUGGCGAGUGGCGGACGGGUGAGGAAUACAUCGGAAUCUACUUUUUCGUGGGGGAUAACGUAGGGAAACUUACGCUAAUACCGCAUACGACCUACGGGUGAAAGCAGGGGAUCUUCGGACCUUGCGCGAUUGAAUGAGCCGAUGUCGGAUUAGCUAGUUGGCGGGGUAAAGGCCCACCAAGGCGACGAUCCGUAGCUGGUCUGAGAGGAUGAUCAGCCACACUGGAACUGAGACACGGUCCAGACUCCUACGGGAGGCAGCAGUGGGGAAUAUUGGACAAUGGGCGCAAGCCUGAUCCAGCCAUACCGCGUGGGUGAAGAAGGCCUUCGGGUUGUAAAGCCCUCUUGUUGGGAAAGAAAAGCAGCGGGUUAAUACCCCGCUGUUCUGACGGUACCCAAAGAAUAAGCACCGGCUAACUUCGUG
rnacentral:rRNA from 1 species